rnacentral:rRNA from 1 species
UGGGGAAUAUUGGGCAAUGGGCGCAAGCCUGACCCAGCAACGCCGCGUGAAGGAAGAAGGCUUUCGGGUUGUAAACUUCUUUUAUGAGGGACGAAGGAAGUGACGGUACCUCAUGAAUAAGCUCCGGCUAACUACGUGCCAGCAGCCGCGGUAAUACGUAGGGAGCGAGCGUUAUCCGGAUUUACUGGGUGUAAAGGGCGUGUAGGCGGGGAAGCAAGUCAGAUGUGAAAACCAGUGGCUCAACCACUGGCCUGCAUUUGAAACUGUUUUUCUUGAGUGAUGGAGAGGCAGGCGGAAUUCCGUGUGUAGCGGUGAAAUGCGUAGAUAUACGGAGGAACACCAGUGGCGAAGGCGGCCUGCUGGACAUUAACUGACGCUGAGGCGCGAAAGCGUGGGGAGCAAACA